UGUUGUUUUUGAACAACUGUCAAUGUUCUUGCAGUUUGAGAGGAACGCUUUCGGGUGACUGCUCUUAAUGUCAGGGGGUCUGAGACUGACGCUUUCGAGUGACCUGUAAUGCCACUGUAGCCUGCAAAGUGGCGCCUUUGGGCGGUACACC
rnacentral:sRNA from 2 species